GUCAAAUCAGGUUCACUUUGCAGAGCCGCAGCUUUUGCCAGCUCGUCAAGAACACCAGCCACUGCAGCUGCACCUUUCCAAAACACCUCAUGGCAUAUCAACAUUUAUCUAUGAAGCUAAACUUUUCAUUUUCUUCUUAGGUCCAAUUUUUGGUUCAAUGGAUUUAAGCCAUUGCUUCUUUUGGCUGAGCUGAAUUCAGCAGAGGACAUCAGUGCUGAACAACGCCCUGGAUAAAUCACCACACAAAGCAGGUACAAACCUGGAAGGAAAAUUGGAAUUGGUCUUUAUGUGCAUGUUCCAAAGCUGCUGAAAUAACCUGACAUCAUUUUACUGACUUCAAGAAGCUGUAGGAUUCUGUAUCUUGAUGGUUUCCUGGUGAGUGAGAUGAGACUGAAUGAGAAGUGGGACACAAGCUCCUGCCUUACCAGCACAGCACUUUCUUACUGUGAUAUGAAGGAAGAAACUAGGGGGGACUUUGGGAAGAAAGCAAAGAAUAAGUAGCUGGUUGUGCUGCUCGGGCACUCAGACUGAACCCAGUCAGGCGAGGCAUCAAACGGGAGGGUUGUUUGUCCUUCCUGUGGCUGCCAGGGAUGUUUAAACUGUAAUAGGCUUAUUGCUCGACCUGUGGUGCAGAAGUACUUCUUUAUGAAUUGG